rnacentral:rRNA from 1 species
AACGAACGCUGGCGGCAGGCUUAACACAUGCAAGUCGAACGCCCCGCAAGGGGAGUGGCAGACGGGUGAGUAACGCGUGGGAACAUACCCUUUCCUGCGGAAUAGCUCUGGGAAACUGGAAUUAAUACCGCAUACGCCCUACGGGGGAAAGAUUUAUCGGGGAAGGAUUGGCCCGCGUUGGAUUAGCUAGUUGGUGGGGUAAAGGCCUACCAAGGCGACGAUCCAUAGCUGGUCUGAGAGGAUGAUCAGCCACAUUGGGACGGAGAAACGGCCCAAACUCUUACGGGAGGCAGCAGUGGGGAAUAUUGGACAAUGGGCGCAAGCCUGAUCCAGCCAUGCCGCGUGAGUGAUGAAGGCCUUAGGGUUGUAAAGCUCUUUCACCGAUGAAGAUAAUGACGGUAGUCGGAGAAGAAGCCCCGGCUAACUUCGCGCCAGCCGCCGCCGUAAAAC